GUUUUCUUAGUACAAGUAAUACAGAUGACUUCCAAUCAUCAAACCCUGGAAAAACCCGGGAGAAAAUA
rnacentral:tRNA from 1 species